UGGGGAAUAUUGCACACUGGAGGGAACUCUGAUGCAGCGACGCCGCGUGAACGAAGAAGGCUUUCGAGUCGUAAAGUUCUUUUAUAUGGGAAGAUAAUGACGGUACCAUAAGAAAAAGCCCCGGCUAACUACGUGCCAGCAGCCGCGGUAAUACGUAGGGGGCUAGCGUUGUCCGGAAUCACUGGGCGUAAAGGGUUCGCAGGCGGAAAUGCAAGUCAGGUGUAAAAGGCAGUAGCUUAACUACUGUAAGCAUUUGAAACUGCAUAUCUUGAGAAGAGUAGAGGUAAGUGGAAUUUUUAGUGUAGCGGUGAAAUGCGUAGAUAUUAAAAAGAAUACCGGUGGCGAAGGCGACUUACUGGGCUCAUUCUGACGCUGAGGAACGACAGCGUGGGUAGCAAACAGG
rnacentral:rRNA from 1 species